GGAAACUGUUAAACUUGAGUGCAGGAGAGAAAAGUGGAAUUCCUAGUGUAGCGGUGAAAUGCGUAGAGAUUAGGAGGAACACCAGUGGCGAAGGCGGCUUUUUGGCCUGUAACUGACACUGAGGCGCGAAAGCGUGGGGAGCAAACAGGAUUAGAUACCCUGGUAGUCCACGCCGUAAACGAUGAGUGCUAAGUGUUGGUCUCAUAAGAGAUCAGUGCUGCAGCUAACGCAUUAAGCACUCCGCCUGGGGAGUACGACCGCAAGGUUGAAACUCAAGGGAAUUGACGGGGACCCGCACAAGCGGUGGAGCAUGUGGUUUAAUUCGAAGCAACGCGAAGAACCUUACCAAGUCUUGACAUACUGUGAGGACACAAGAGAUUGUGUUGUUCUGACCUUUGGUUAGACACAGAUACAGGUGGUGCAUGGUUGUCGUCAGCUCGUGUCGUGAGAUGUUGGGUUAAGUCCCGCAACGAGCGCAACCCUUAUAUCUAGUUGCCAGCAGUAAGAUGGGGACUCUAGAUAGACUGCCAGUGAUAAACUGGAGGAAGGUGGGGAUGACGUCAAAUCAUCAUGCCCCUUAUGACUUGGGCUACACACGUGCUACAAUGGAUAGGAACAAAGAGAAGCGAGCUCGCGAGAGUAAGCAAACCUCACAAAACUAUUCUCAGUUCGGAUUGUAGUCUGCAACUCGACUACAUGAAGCUGGAAUCGCUAGUAAUCGCGAAUCAGAAUGUCGCGGUGAAUACGUUCCCGGGUCUUGUACACACCGCCCGUCACACCACGAGAGUUUGUAACACCCGAAGACGGUGGCCUAACCUUUUAGGAGGGAGCCGGUCACGGUGGGACAGAUGAUUGGGGUGAAGUCGUAACAAGGUAGCCGUAUCGGAAGG
rnacentral:rRNA from 1 species